rnacentral:rRNA from 1 species
CAGCAGCCGCGGGAAUACGUAGGGUGCAAGCGUUAAUCGGAAUUACUGGGCGUAAAGCGUGCGCAGGCGGUUCUAUAAGACAGAUGUGAAAUCCCCGGGCUCAACCUGGGAACUGCAUUUGUGACUGUAGAGCUGGAGUGCGGCAGAGGGGGAUGGAAUUCCGCGUGUAGCAGUGAAAUGCGUAGAUAUGCGGAGGAACACCGAUGGCGAAGGCAAUCCCCUGGGCCUGCACUGACGCUCAUGCACGAAAGCGUGGGGAGCAAACAGGAUUAGAUACCCCUGUAGUCCCUGUCUCUUAUAC